CCUACGGGAGGCAGCAGUGGGGAAUCUUGCGCAAUGGGCGAAAGCCUGACGCAGCCAUGCCGCGUGAAUGAUGAAGGUCUUAGGAUUGUAAAAUUCUUUCACCGGGGACGAUAAUGACGGUACCCGGAGAAGAAGCCCCGGCUAACUUCGUGCCAGCAGCCGCGGUAAUACGAAGGGGGCUAGCGUUGCUCGGAAUUACUGGGCGUAAAGGGAGCGUAGGCGGAUAGUUUAGUCAGAGGUGAAAGCCCAGGGCUCAACCUUGGAAUUGCCUUUGAUACUGGCUAUCUUGAGUGUGGGAGAGGUUAGCGGAACUCCGAGUGUAGAGGUGAAAUUCGUAGAUAUUCGGAAGAACACCAGUGGCGAAGGCGGCUAACUGGCCCAUUACUGACGCUGAGGCUCGAAAGCGUGGGGAGCAAACAGGAUUAGAUACCCUGGUAGUCCACGCCGUAAACGAUGAGUGCUAGUUGUCGGCAGGCAUGCCUGUCGGUGACGCAGCUAACGCAUUAAGCACUCCGCCUGGGGAGUACGGUCGCAAGAUUAAAACUCAAAGGAAUUGACGG
rnacentral:rRNA from 1 species